rnacentral:lncRNA from 1 species
AGCAGAUUUGCUCAGGGAAGCCGGUUUGUCGUAUAUAGGCUGCCCACUGAGCAUCGGUGAGGAACCAGAGUCACCUGAAGGGUAAGGAGGUGAUGAUGUACGAGUGCGAACAGAAUGAGCUGCAGGUUCUCUUGUUUCAGGGGAAUUCUCAGAUUUGUAGGUAUCACCACUAAGGUAAUCAACCAUGCCGGAAUUUGUAGCAACCAGACUUUUUGACGGGGGUGGAGGAGGAAGAAAUGGAUCAACUCGCCCAGUCUCACUUUUAG